AUGUCUAAUGUUUUUUCGCCUAGGGAAUUAAACGGACUAUUGCGAGCGGAACGAAAUGGGCGAGCCUUGGAUGAAUCGAUCUAUUAUCGGGCAAUCUUAUUGGGAAUAACAAGGGCUUCCCUGAAUACCCAAAGUUUCAUAUCUGAAGCAAGUUUUCAAGAAACUGCUCGAGUUUUAGCAAAAGCUGCCCUACGAGGUCGCAUUGAUUGGUUACUCAUCACCAAUAUAUUGCAAGGUUCAUCAUGA
rnacentral:rRNA from 1 species